rnacentral:rRNA from 1 species
GAUGAACGCUGGCGGCGUGCCUAAUACAUGCAAGUCGAGCGAACGGGCGAGGAGCUUGCUUCUCUGAUGUUAGCGGCGGACGGGUGAGUAACACGUGGAUAACCUACCUAUAAGACUGGGAUAACUUCGGGAAACCGUAGCUAAUACCGGAUAAUAUUUUGAACCGCAUGGUUCAAAAGUGAAAGACGGUCUUGCUGUCACUUAUAGAUGGAUCCGCGCUGCAUUAGCUAGUUGGUAAGGUAACGGCUUACCAAGGCAACGAUGCAUAGCCGACCUGAGAGGGUGAUCGGCCACACUGGAACUGAGACACGGUCCAGACUCCUACGGGAGGCAGCAGUAGGGAAUCUUCCGCAAUGGGCGAAAGCCUGACGGAGCAACGCCGCGUGAGUGAUGAAGGUCUUCGGAUCGUAAAACUCUGUUAUUAGGGAAGAACAUAUGUGUAAGUAACUGUGCACAUCUUGACGGUACCUAAUCAGAAAGCCACGGCUAACUACGUG